rfam:Solanum tuberosum cultivar DM 1-3 516 R44 scf01311_2, whole genome shotgun sequence.
GUGAUCCCUAGAGUUCCCUUGACCACUUCAUUAGGAAUUAAUUACUUCAUUUUUAAUGUCCUACUGAAGUGUUUGGGGGAACUCCUGGGUUCAC